UACGAGUGCCCCAAGCGUUAUCCGGAAUCACUGGGCGUAAAGGGUGUGCAGGCGGUUCUGUUAGUCCACUGUUAAAGCCCAAGGCUCAACCUUGGAAGCGCAGUGGAAACGGCAGAACUAGAGGACGUGAGAGGUGAGUGGAACCCAUAGUGUAGGGGUGAAAUCCGUUGAUAUUAUGGGGAACACCGAAGGCGAAGGCAACUCACUGGCACGUUCCUGACGCUCAAACACGAAAGCCAGGGUAGCGAACGGG
rnacentral:misc_RNA from 1 species